rnacentral:tRNA from 1 species
GCAGCUGUGGCCGAGUGGUUAAGGCGAUGGACUUGAAAUCCAUUGGGGUCUCCCCGCGUAGGUUCGAAUCCUGCCGGCUGCG